rnacentral:lncRNA from 10 species
AGAGGACUACUUGCCCGAGACUCGUGGGGCUGGAUGGGAAUCGUAGUCUUCCUAGGAGUUGCCUCAGGUGGCGAUUCUGACCUUGGUACAGCAAUUACUGUGACGUAAUAAGCCGCAACUGGAAGCGUAGAGGCGAGAGGGCGGGCGCUUUACGGCGAACUCAGGUAGAAUUCUUCCUUUUCCGUCUCUUUCUUUUUAUGUCACCAGGGGAGGACUGGGUGGCCAACCCAGAGCCCCGAGAGAUGCUAGGCUCUUUCUGUCCCGCCCUUCCUCUGACUGUGUCUUGAUUUCCUAUUCUGAGAGGCUAUUGCUCAGCGGUUUCCGUGGCAACAGUAAAGCGUGGGAAUUACAGAUAAAUUAAAACUGUGGAACCCCUUUCCUCGGCUGCCGCCAAGGUGUUCGGUCCUUCCGAGGAAGCUAAGGCCGCGUUGGGGUGAGACCCUCACUUCAUCCGUUUUGUCUGCAGCUCGAUUUCUUGGUUCCCUGACUGGGAAGCGAGGUGAAUGGCGGAUGGUCAAGGCAGCUCCUUAGGCGGCUUAAACCUGCCCUGUGGAACAUCCCUGCAGGGGACUCCAACCAGCCCGAGCAACACGGAUCCUGAGGGCGCUCCUGGUUAGGCAUUUGCCCCACUGGGACGCCUCGCCAGAGCACUGUAUGGCAGGCCCCCAUGGAGGAUCAACGCAGUGGCUGAACACCGGGAAGGAACGGGCACUUGGAGUCUGGACAUCUAAAACUUGGUAAGAGUAGUCUUUGAAACUUGCCCACUCCAUUUGAGUGGAAGCAUGGCCUGAUCACCCAUGGCGUGCCUUUAUUGGCACUUUGGUUUUGGUUUGAAUUGCUUGACAGGAUUGGUCUUGGGAACUUGCCUACUCCAUUUGAGUGGAAGUGUGGCCUGAUCACCCAUGGUGUGCCUCUCCUGGCACUUUGGUUUUUAUUUUUGACUUGACUUGGAUUGCUUGAUACUUUGGUUUUGGUUUUGACCUGGCUUGGAUUUCUGGAUACUCUGAUUUUGGUUUGGUGCAAACUGCAAAACUGUGUGUGCGCCCUUUUUACCGGUUCUUUGUUUUGUGGUGUGUUUGUGGUGUGAGCGUGGUGUUUUGUCUUGAAGAAGCAUAGGUCAGGCACGAAUAAGCCCACCCCACUAGGAACUAUGUUGACAAAUUUCAAAAAAGAAUCUGAGGGAGACUAUGGAGUGCUAUGACACCAGGAAAACUUAAAACUUUGUGUAAGAUAGACUGGCCAGCAUUAGAGGUAGGUUGGCCAUUAGAAGGAAGCCUGGACAGGUCCCUUGUUUCAAAGGUAUGGCACAAGGUAACCUAUAAGCCAAGGAACCCAGACCAGUUCCCUUACAGAGACACUUGAUUAGAGCUGGUUUUAGACCCCCCACCCCCAACACAUAGUGGUUGAGAGAACAGCAGCAUAAGUGGCUGGCAGAGGCAAGGAAAGACCAGCAGAGAGAGAGAAAGGAAAGAGACAGAGAGGAAAAGAGGAAAAGAGAGAGAGGAAGAGACAGGAAGAGACAGACAGAGAGUCAAGGAUAGAGAGAGAGAGAGAGAGAGAGACACACACACACACACACACAGAGAGAGAGGAAGAGGCAGAGGCAAAAGGAAAGUCAAAGAGAGAGACAAAGUCAAAGAGAGAAAGAAAGAGAGAAAGAGAGAGAGAUACAAAGUUAAGAAAAAAAAGCCAUCUAUACCAAUUCUAAUUUAGACAAAACAAGGUCUUAUUAAUAG